rnacentral:rRNA from 1 species
AUACGUAGGGGACGAGCGUUGUCCGGAAUUACUGGGCGUAAAGGGCGCGCAGGCGGUAUAUCAAGUCAGCUGUCAAAGACUGGGGCUCAACCCUGGUAUGCGGUUGAAACUGAUAUGCUGGAGAGCUGUAGAGGCAAGUGGAAUUCCCAGUGUAGCGGUGAAAUGCGUAGAUAUUGGGAAGAACACCGGUGGCGAAGGCGACUUGCUGGGCAGCAACUGACGCUGAGGCGCGAAAGCCAGGGGAGCAAACGGGAUUAGAUACCCCGGUAGUCCUGGCCGUAAACGAUGAAUGCUAGGUGUGUGUGUAGAGAUACAUGCGUGCCGGAGUUAACGCGAUAAGCAUUCCGCCUGGGGAGUACGGCCGCAAGAUUGAAACUCAAAUGAAUUGACGGGG